rnacentral:misc_RNA from 1 species
UUAUGAGACAUGAAUUUAUUUUAUAUUUAUUUCUAUAUUGUUUGUUUGUUAGUUGUUAGUUAUAAAUUUAUUAGGCAAGAGAUUUUUUUUGAAUUCUAUAGAAAAUUAUAAUUUUUAAAUUUUUCUCUUGAGGGUAGUUUAGGAAAUGAGGACUUUUGUAAAUUUCAAUUCUGAAAUUAUAUCAAAAAUAAAUUAUAUGGAAUACAAUUGAAUUCUACAUUUUAAGUUGUAUCAUAUCAAAUAAUGAAAUUCAUUUUAAAUGAAUUCUAAAGUUUGUAAUAGAAUUGAAUUAAACAAUAUGCUAUAGGAUUCUAUUAGGUUUAGUAUUUUAU